AACGGCUGGCGGCGCGUCUUAAGCAUGCAAGUCGAAUGGCAAGAUAAGAGCUUGCUCUAUCCUAGAAUGGCGGACUGGUGAGUAACGCGUGGGUGACGUACCUCUCGGGAUGGGGGAUAGCUCCUGGAAACAGGAGAUAAUACCGAAUACGCUGCAGGGAUCUAGAGGCCCUGCAGGAAAGCAGCUUUUGCUGCACCGGAAGAGCGGCCCGCGGGCUAUUAGCUUGUUGGCGGGGUAACGGCCCACCAAGGCGACGAUAGCUACCCGGCCUAAGAGGGUGAUCGGGCACAUUGGGACUGAGAUACGGCCCAGACUCCUACGGGAGGCAGCAGCUAAGAAUAUUCCGCAAUGGAGGAAACUCUGACGGAGCGACGCCGCGUGGACGAGGAAGGCCGGAAAAGGUUGUAAAGUCCUUUUAUGACUGAGGAAUAAGCAGAGUGAGAGAAACGCUUUGUGGUGACUGUAGGUCAUGAAUAAGCAACGGCUAAUUACGUGCCAGCAGCUGC
rnacentral:rRNA from 1 species